rnacentral:rRNA from 1 species
GACGAACGCUGGCGGCGUGCUUAACACAUGCAGGUCGAACGGAAAGGCCCUGCUUUUGUGGGGUGCUCGAGUGGCGAACGGGUGAGUAACACGUGAGUAACCUGCCCUUGACUUUGGGAUAACUUCAGGAAACUGGGGCUAAUACCGGAUAGGAGCUCCUGCUGCAUGGUGGGGGUUGGAAAGUUUCGGCGGUUGGGGAUGGACUCGCGGCUUAUCAGCUUGUUGGUGGGGUAGUGGCUUACCAAGGCUUUGACGGGUAGCCGGCCUGAGAGGGUGACCGGCCACAUUGGGACUGAGAUACGGCCCAGACUCCUACGGGAGGCAGCAGUGGGGAAUAUUGCACAAUGGGCGGAAGCCUGAUGCAGCAACGCCGCGUGCGGGAUGACGGCCUUCGGGUUGUAAACCGCUUUCGCCUGUGACGAAGCGAGAGUGACGGUAAUGGGUAAAGAAGCACCGGCUAACUACGUG